rnacentral:rRNA from 1 species
GUUAAAUUAAUUAUUUUUGGUUUAUAGUUGAAUAAAAAUUUCUAUUAAAUUUAUUAUUAUUAGGUGAAAUUUUAAUUUUAUUAGAACUAGAGUUAUUGAAGCUAUUAAAUUUUUUAUUAAAACAAGGAUUAGAUACCCUUCUAUAUUAAAUGUAAAUUUUAACUAGGGUAGUAAUAGUUAUGUUCUUGAAACCCAAAGAAUUUGGCGGUAUUUUAUUCCUUUUAGAGGAACCUGUCCUGUAAUUGAUAGUUCACGAUAAUAAAUACUUAUUUUUGUAUCAGUUUGUAUACCUCCGUCAUAAGAAUAUCUUUUUAGAGGAAAUUUUCUACUCAUAUAAAGUAAGAUAUGUCAGGUCAAGGUGCAGCUUAUAAAUAAGUAGAGAUGGGUUACAAUAAAUUUAUUUAUACGGAUUAUUACAAGUAUUAGUUUUAUGAAGGAGGAUUUAAAAGUAAUUUUUUUUUUGUAAAUUUGAUUAUGGCUCUAAAGUAUGCACACAUCGCCCNNNNNNNNNNNNNNNNNNNNNNNNNGAUAAGUCGUAACAUAGUAUGUGUACCGGAAGGUGUCUCUAGAAUGACAAUCAAAAUAGAACUUGAAAGAAAGCAUUUCGUUUACACUGAAAA